AUUGAACGCUAGCGGGAUGCUUUACACAUGCAAGUCGAACGAGUGGCGGACGGGUGAGUAAUAUCUCGGAAAGUGCCCAGUAGCGGGGGAUAACUACUCGAAAGAGUAGCUAAUACCGCCUACUAUUGGAGCGGCCCAUAUCGGAUUAGCUAGUAGGUGGGGUAACGGCGCACCGAGGCAACGAACCGUAGCUGGUUUGAGAGGACGACCAGCCACACUGUGACGGAGACACGGCCCAGACUCCUACGGGAGGCAGCAGUGGGGAAUUGUGGACAAUGGGGGAAACCCUGAUGCAGCCAUCCCGCGUGUAUGAGAAGGCCUUCGGGUUGUAAAGUACUUUUAGCAGGGAAGCGGUAUCUGCAGAAUAAGCACCGGCUAACUACGUGCCAGCAGCCGCGGUAAUUC
rnacentral:rRNA from 1 species